GCUCCGGUCUCCACUGCCAACAGUGGCAGCGGUCCAAGAACUGUUGAACGAAGGGUGCUUCGGUCGUCUGGGAAGGCUGGUUAGGGUAGUUUCAUGGACAUGGAAACCGGCUGAGGGAUUCCUGAGUGUCGGGAGGGGAAUGGGGGCAGUGCCACGCCUGGCCUCAGAGGGGAGGUGGGACAACCAGGACCUCACAGACCCACAGACAGGGUUGGCUGCAGCAGCGUACGCAUGUACACCAGACCUCAGAAGGGAGGUGGGACAGCCAUGAUCUCCUGGAUGCACAGGAGAGAGGGGACUUCAGGGCUUCGUCGGGAGUGUAGGCAACACUGGACCACAGGAGCCAGGCGAAUCACCAGGCCCUGCAGGUGAUCAAGGGCCUAAGGGCGCACAGGGAGCCAAAGGGGUCGAAGGAGAAGAGGGACCCGCAGGACAACAGGAGAGCCAGAGGAGAGGGGAAACGGUGGAUUCCCAGGCGCUCAAGGACCCAGUGGACAGAGGAUGUUCUACACUGGAGCUGGAAUGAACCCUGUCAGAUCCUUCGUCCUGCUUCUUGAACCACUGGGUAAGAAAAAUAUGUACAAAUUAUGCAUAAAAAACAUGCUCAUAGUCUCGCAUUGUUUGUAAACUACUUUCAAUUCAGAUAUAAUAGAUGUAAUAGUGUUGCAUUGUUUUGGUCUUUUAUAGAAUGUGCAAUGCACUGCAUGUAUUUCUCAGCUGCUCACAUGUAACUAUAAUAUGGUUUCUGUUCUUCCCUCCUCGUGCCUGCUCCCGUCCGUGUGUCCGUGCGUUCGUUCCUACCUGCGUGCGUCCGUGUCUCCGUCCAGCCGGCUGUGCGUGCUUCCGACUGUGCGUCCGUGCCUACGUCUGGCUGGCCGUGCGUUCGUCUGUGCCCACGUCCGUGCCUCCGUCUGGCCGGCUGUGCGUCCGUCCGUGCGUCAGUCGAUCUGUAUGUCCGUGCCUAGGUCUGGCCGGCCGUGCGUCCGUCUGUGCCCACGUCUGUGCCACCGUCUGGCCGGCCGUGCGUCCGUCUGUGCCCACGUCCGUGCCUCCGUCUGGCCGGCUGUGCGUCCGUCCGUGCGUCAGUCGAUCUGUGCGUCCGUGCCUACGUCUGGCCGGCCGUGCGUCCGUCUGUGCCCACGUCCGUGCCACCGUCUGGCCGGCCGUGCGUCCGUCUGUGCGUCCGUGCCUACGUUUGGCCGGACGUGCUUCUGUCUGUGCCCACGUCCGUGCCUCCGUCUGGCCGGCUGUGCGUGCGUCCGUCCGUCCGUCCGUCCGUCCGUGCGUCAGUCCGUCCGUGCGUCAGUCCGUCUGUGCGUCCGUGUCUACGUCUGGCCGGACGUGCGUCCGUCUGUGCUUCCAUCUGUCUGUGCCUCCGGCCGGCCAGCUGUCCAUCCGUGUGUGCGUGCCCACGUCCUUGUGUGCAUGCCUGCGUCUGUCUGUCCAUUCGUCCGUCCGUCUGUGCGUCAGUCCGUGCCUACGUCCAGCUGGGCCAUGUCUGUGCGUCCGUGCGUCUGUCAGUCUGUUUGCUCGCAAAAACAAAAAAAACAGUAGGGGGUCUACCAAAAAAAUGGAGUGAUUUUUGAGUGUGUGUGUGUCUGUAUUUGGUCUCCUAUAGAAUUGACUUAAGAUACUGCUGAUGGUGUUCAAAGCAUUAAAUAGUCGUCGUCCCUGUUACAUCUCUGAUAUGCUCUCUUUUUAUGCCCCUGCCCGAGCUCUCAGAUCCGCUGAUGCCACGCUGCUAAGGAUUCCUACCCUUCCACCAAAGAAAAUUGGUGAAGCCGCCUUCGAUAUGUACGCGCCCAAGAGAUAGAACUCUGCCUCUUGACAUCAGAGACACUACCUCCAUCAACUGGCACAACUCUUUACCCUCGCCUAUUCUCAGCUGCUCAGGCCCUACAGGCUCAACAUGUCGUGCCCUGAUGUGCAAAAUCUGUAGUUAUCUCUCUUCCUUUUAAUCCGUGCGUGAUUACAAAGCGUGUGUGUGUGUGUGUGUGUGUGUGUGUGUGUGUGUGUGU